AAUAAAGCCCUGCAGAUUUACUCCAAACUUCAGGAUGGAAAAGACCCAACAGAGCCCACUCAUCAGAGCCCUUGCUCUAAGUUUGAGGACUUUGAUUUUCUGGCAAAGUACUGUAUCCUCAGUCAGGACAAGCUUUCCAUGUACAAAAGAGCUUUUGAGGCCGCUGAUAGUGAUGGAGAUGGUUAUCUGAGCUGUCUCCAAGUGCUGCUGGCACUGAAAGAGAUCAUUCCUCCAGAACUUCUGACUGAAGAAGAGGAAAUAUAUGUGUACAGGAUUCUGGAGCUGGUUGAUUUCAGAGUGACAAAAGGCCUUACGGAUCUGCGCCUGUUUGCUGUAGUGGCCAGUUUGGCCCAGAAAAUAGCCACACUCGAUGAUUUCAUGCGCUCCCUCAUCAGCGAGAUGGAUUUCAAAUCUCUGGAGAUGAAGCUUUAUAAAGCCAAGCAGUUGUUCUUGUUCUUGCUGGAGGCCCAAACAGGGGGCGCUCUGGUGCCAGAGGGUUGCAUUGGGGCAGAGCAACUCCUAGUGGAGCUCAAGGCAGGGGGCAUCAGGCCUGAGCAUGAGGCAUCGGUGAGGCGGGAGCUUCGCAGUUUGCGCUCCCUUGAUCUUCUCGACUUCCUCGCUCAUCUGCCUCUCUUCAUCCUCAUUCAUAACUCAGUUAUCGCAAACCCCUUCGAUGACACCAGCAACCUGUGAUGGUAUCAACAACAACUGUUUGCACCAAUGGUUAGGCCAUAUUAACAUCAAAAUGAAUACAUAUAUUAGAUACAUAUGUAUGAAAAAAACUUUGGGGCAUGAGGGAUUUUUCAUGUUUUUGAAAGAAGCUAUUUUGCUUGCCAAGGCUGCAUUUAUAUGAUCAAAAAUACAUUUACAAAAAAAAAAAUAAUAAUAAUAAGUGUCUUCUAUUUUAAUAUAUUUUAAAAAGUAUUUUUUUCUGUGAUGCAAAGUAGAAUUUUCAGCAUCUAUUAGUCCAGUCUUCAGUGUCACAUGAUCCUUCUACAUUUCAUUUUAUACAUUAUAUUAUAUUAUAUUAUAUUAUAUUAUAUUAUAU
rnacentral:lncRNA from 1 species